AUUGAACGCUAGCGGGAUGCUUUACACAUGCAAGUCGAACGAGUGGCGGACGGGUGAGUAAUAUAUAGGAACGUGGCCCGUAGCGGGGGAUCACUACUCGAAAGAGUGGCCAAUACCGCCUACUAUUGGUGCGGCCGAUAUCGGGUUAGCUAGUGGGGGGGGUAAAGGCUCACCAAGGCAACGAACCGUAGCUGGUUUGAGAGGACUACCAGACACUCUGGGACUGAGACACGGCCCAGACUCAUACGGGAGGCAGCAGUGGGUAAUUUUGGACAAUGAGGAAAAGCCUGAUCCGGCCAUCCCGCGGGGUUUAGAGGGCCUUCGGGUUUUAAAGUACUUUUGUCAGGGCAGCGGUAUCUGCAGAAUAAGCACCGGCUAACUACGUGCCAGCAGCCGCGGUAAUAC
rnacentral:rRNA from 1 species